rnacentral:rRNA from 1 species
AAGAAACUAACUAGAAUUUUCUCAGUAACUGCGAGUGAAAAGAAAAGAGCUCAUCGCUGAAUCCGUUUGGCAUUAAUUGCCGAAUGGAAUUGUAGCGUAUGCGCGUGUCUGUCUAGUGAUUUGAUGGUUUCGUAAGCUUCCUUGAUUGGAAUCCCAUAGCGGGUGGAAGGCCCGUUACGAAACAAUUCUCACUGGUAGGAUACGCGUUAGAGUCGGGUUGCUUGAAAGUGCAGCCCAAAGUUGGUGGUAAAUUCCAUCUAAAGCUAAAUACGACCGCGAGACCGAUAGCGAACAAGUACCGUGAGGGAAAGUUGAAAAGAACUUUGAAGAGAGAGUUCAAAAGGGCGUGAAACUGCUUAGAAGUAAACGGGUAAAGCCGCGAGACAGUCGCGAAAAUCAGUCGUUUGAUUGAGGAAAUCGAUACUCUGUACGGCCAGCGCGUUCACGUGGUCGUCGGGGCGAAAGAGUACUUGGUCGGCGACGCAUUUUUCGUGGCGCGCUAUCGCAACCAAAGUCAAUUCCCGUCGAAGCUCGAGUUUGAAGGCGGACUCGUCGACAGUUUUGUUGGCGUUGACCGUGUCUAGACUCUUGUUCACCGACGCGAUUUGGUAAUUGAUUUUGCGUUUUUUCUUAAAAAAUGUCGUAGUCGGCUUUCGCAUCGUGUGGUUGAGUCGGUUGGUCUGAAAUGUCAUUUUCCAUUCGUGGGACUUGACGACUCCCGAUUCGCGCUUCGAACCACGCGGCGACAAAGUCGGAGUUAUAUGCUACGUAGAUUGGCGAUAUUUGCAGCGGUCGCUUACCCGACCCGUCUUGAAACACGGACCAAGGAGUCUAACAUAUGCGCGAGUUUGUAAGUCGAUUUUAAACUUACGAGCGAAAUGAAAGUAAAGGUGCGUUUUGGCGUGCCGAGAUACGAUCCGUCGUGCAUUCGCGUGUACGGCGGCGGAGUAUCGUCCCGUCUAUAUGCCACGAGCAUUCGGCGGAGAAUGAGCGUAUAUGUUGGGACCCGAAAGAUGGUGAACUAUGCUUGAGCAGAACGAAGCCAGAGGAAACUCUGGUGGAGGUUCGUAGCGGUUCUGACGUGCAAAUCGAUCGUCAGACUUGAGUAUAGGGGCGAAAGACU